GACGAACGCUGGCGGCGUGCUUAACACAUGCAAGUCGAACGGUGAAGCGCCUUCCUUUUUGGUGGGUGUGGAUGAGUGGCGAACGGGUGAGUAACACGUUAGUAACCUGCCCCCUUCUUCUGGAUAACCGCAUGACAGUGUUGCUAAUACGGGAUAUUCUGGGUCUGUCGCAUGAUGGGUCUGGGACAGAUUUUGUUUCGGUGGGGGAUGGGUCCGCGGCCUAUCAGCUUGUUGGUGGGGUGAUGGCCUACCAAGGCGGUGACGGGUAGCCGGCCUGAGAGGGUGGACGGUCACAGGGGGACUGAGACACGGCCCAGACUCCUACGGGAGGCAGCAGUGGUGAAUAUUGAACAGUGGGCGCAAGCCUGAAGCAGCGACGCCGCGUGAGGGAUGGAGGCCUUCGGGUUGUGAACAGCUUUCGCCAGUGAAGCAGGCCUGCCUCGUUUGUGGGUGGAUUGACGGUAGCUGGAGAAGAAGCGCCGGCUAACUACGUG
rnacentral:rRNA from 1 species